rnacentral:tRNA from 1 species
GGAAUGGUCGGGAUAGCUCAGCUGGUAGAGCAGAG